rnacentral:rRNA from 1 species
CCUACGGGUGGCAGCAGUGGGGGAUAUUGCACAAUGGGGGAAACCCUGAUGCAGCGACGCCGCGUGGGUGAAGAAGUAUUUCGGUAUGUAAAGCCCUAUCAGCAGGGAAGAAAGAAGACGGUACCUGACUAAGAAGCCCCGGCUAACUACGUGCCAGCAGCCGCGGUAAUACGUAGGGGGCGAGCGUUAUCCGGAUUCACUGGGUGUAAAGGGAGCGUAGACGGCCGUGCAAGCCAGGAGUGAAAGCCCGGGGCCCAACCCCGGGACUGCUCUUGGAACUGUGCGGCUGGAGUGCGGGAGGGGCAGGCGGAAUUCCUGGUGUAGCGGUGAAAUGCGUAGAUAUCAGGAGGAACACCGGCGGCGAAGGCGGCCUGCUGGACCGCGGCUGACGUUGAGGCUCGAAAGCGUGGGGAGCGAACAGGAUUAGAUACCCCAGUAGUC